rnacentral:lncRNA from 1 species
GGUUAUGGCGAGUUCCAUCAGUUCUAGACCCCAGAGCUGGGCUGCGGCCGCGGCUGCGCAGAGGGAGAGAACUCAAUGGCGUUUUGCCUCCUUUCUCUCCCCUCCCUCUUCUCUUGAAGGCUCCGAGAGGGGCACUGUCAAGUUGACGCCAUCUGCUGGCAGGACGCGGAUUAUCGUCAAAGCCGGCGGCCUUUCAGUCCUUAGCCAGGGACCCCGAACUUGCAGUUGCUUGGUGGCUCCUUCUCUACUCACCAUUUGCUGGGGUUGGGGUACAUGAUGUAAGGAGGGUUGUUACAUCAAUGGAUCACAUAUGCCAAUGAUGUCAAACUCAGAAACAGAGACUCUAAAUCUUACAUAAGGAUUCUUGUGGGCGGGGGCGGAGCCAAGAUGGCGGAGAAGUCACACGCGACUUUCUAAGCUCUUCUCUUACCCUCUUUAUCAAUAUUAUAUCGAGCCUCAAAAAUAGUCUUG